AGUCCAAAAAACUACAUUUCCCUUGGCCACUACCCUGCACUUUGCAGUCCCAAUACGUCCAAAAAUUACACAAAAAUGGACAUUCAAAAUCUGGCACAAAAUCAGAGCUCAAAAAGUGUUCAAAUUUGAUUCCAAUUUUCCCCCCAAACUCUUUCAAUUCCUCUAUAAAAGAAGAAAAAAAACACAGCAAAAGGGGAUCGGAAAAAAUCACAAAAACACUCUGCAACGUUUAACACACUAAACAGAACAGCAGCAUUCACUUUCAAUACAUUCACAAACCCUUAGCUCACAACACAAACUCUUUCCAACAUACAAACCUCCACACGGAAACUGUAUCCACUCAUCUGCCCUUCAUCGCAACACCUAAUCGCAACUUUGAAUAACACCAUUGCCACACGAUUCAAACAACAUAGUGGAUUUCGUCACUCCCAUAACUUUCGGAUCGUUGAGUUUGAAGCAAAGAGAUUGAGAAGCUAGAAAGAAGAAGGAGAGGAUAAAGUAGUUUAGUAUCUCACCUCUGGAUUUCUAGACGUCAUCUCCAGCAAACUGCAAAUUUAGGGAUGUUCAAUGCAAUUCACCCGAAAUCUUCAACAACUUGUCAACACAAAUCACUAUGUUUCCAAAGGGAAGUUCGAUGAAACUACUAUGAUUUCCUUGAUUAAUAAGAAUCAUCCUUGUGUGAGGAGACCAAAACAGUAAAAACAUACAACCAUACAACCACAAGGACCAAAACAGUAAAAACAUAACAGCCUAUGGUUUUAUUGGUUAAUUAGCACCCUUAAUCCAUUGGUCUGCAUGCAACUUUCAUUUGCCUAUUUGAUAUAUCUGUCAAGGAGCAAUGCCAAAAUAUGAGUGAAUUGUACAAAGUAAAUUUAUUCAAAGAAUUAUCGCUUGCAAGGUUCCGUAUAUUUCCAUAUGAGAAAUAUGAGAGCUGGCGCGAUGAAGCCUUAUGGAUGACCGUGAGAAAUAUGAGAGCUGGCGCGAUGAAGCCUUAUGGUCCUGAAAGUUUUACAAGCGUAUGAGCAAGAUAAUAAACUCAAGUCAUUUGAUACUUCUUUGAGAAAUGAAAUGAUCAAGGUGUUUGCACCUUUGGAUAACAAUCUUGGUCAACUACAAAGCCCUUCUUUGAACCAAGAUAGACUGGGUCCCCUUCUUUCGUUAAAGUACUAUUGUAAUCCGGACAAUCAGCUAUUACUUGAAAAUAAAGGUGUAUUGGUCAACUACAAAGCCCUUCUUUGAACCAAGAUAGACUGGGUCCCCUUCUUUCGUUAAAGUACUAUUGUAAUCCGGACAAUCAGCUAUUACUUGAAAAUAAAGGUGUAUUUCAACAUUGUAACAGCAUGGGUGAUGGCGAAUCUUCGAUAAGUGGGGGUAUUGUUUUCGUGCAAGCCGGGCCAUUCGACCCCAAAAUGCAAUCAACAUUUAAUCUUAAAAGGAUCGCAACUAACUAUGGUUUCACAAUGGAAGAGUUUGGGGCACUUGAGCAUCUCUUCCUUGAAAAUGCUUCCUAUGGUAAUCUAUUCUUGAAGUUGGGAUUGGAUAAAGAGAAAUUUGAGUUUUUGAGCAGACAAAUAGACGUAUUUAACCAGAAGUAUGGCGACAAUGACAGGCGCACGACCAAAAGAAAGAGUCGCCAUGGCUGAGAUGCCACACGGAUUGGAGUAGCAACUGGUUUGCAAUUAUUAAAAAAGUACAAACUUAAGUGCUUGUUUAGCUAUUUGUGGUGAGGCGAUUAGCUAGAUGCUACGCUGUGUAUCUUGCUUUACCUAUCAUAUCUUUGGGUUGUAACACUUAUGUUUCGAUUUGAGUAUUUCAAACUGUUUAGGACAUUGCUAAUAUUUAUGUCUUUUGGAACUUAAUAUGAUUAUGGAUUAUUAUGUAAGUGAUGUACUUUUGGAGAUCUAUAUGUGAUCUAUGAUGUAUUUAAUGUGUAAGUGAUGUACUAAAUGUAUGCAUCCGAUUAU